GACAGAGGGUGCAAACGUUGCUCGGAAUCACUGGGCGUAAAGGGCGUGUAGGCGGGACAGUAAGUCGGGCGUGAAAUCCCUGGGCUCAACCCAGGAACUGCACUCGAAACUACUAUUCUUGAGUGUCGGAGAGGAAAGCGGAAUUCCUGGUGUAGAGGUGAAAUUCGUAGAUAUCAGGAGGAACACCAGUGGCGGAAGGCGGCUUUCUGGAC
rnacentral:rRNA from 1 species